rnacentral:lncRNA from 9 species
GCAGUUAUUUCAGGAGGCGCCAGAGUUUGCCACCCGUCCAGGCGCUCCACUUCCAGAGCUGCCCCUGUGGCUGGUUCUGGGGUGAAAAUGCCAGCCCUUCACAUCGAAGAUCUGCCAGAAAAGGAAAAGCUGAAGAUGGAAGUUGAGCAACUUCGCAAAGAAGUCAAGUUGCAGAGACAACAGGGCUGCACCCGAGGCAAAUGAAAGUUCCUAGGCUGGGGUUGAAUCAGAGCUACAGCUGCCAGCCACAGCCACAGCCAGGCAGGAUCGAGCCACAGCCAUGUCCACAACCUGCACCACAGCUCACGGCAAUGCUGGAUCCUUAACCCACUGAGAGAGACCAAGGAUCGAACCUGCAUCUUCAUGGAUCCUAGUGGGGUUGUUAACUACUGAGCCCCGAAGGGAACUCCCCACAAAUUUCUUUGUGGCCAAAGAGCCCAGUUUAUGAUACUAACAUCAUCACCUCUGAGGAUUCACUUAAAAUGCCCAUACAAUGAAUGUUAGCAAGACUGAUAGCAAAUGUUACCUAGAGAAUGGUACUUGGAAACAUUUUAUUUUGCCACAUCUUAACUAUAGCACUUAAAUUUUAUAUCCCUAUAUGCCAAGAAUCUUUGGGGGUGUGGGAAUAAAACACUAAGUUUUUGAUUUUUUAAAGAUUUCAAUUGUGGUAUAAUAGACAUGAAGCAUGUUAAUUUUAGGCAUAUAACAUAGUGAUUUGAUAUUUGUAUAUAUUGCAAAAAUGAUAUAUUUUAGGUUAGUUUAAAAUCUCAUAUUUUAUAAUUUCCAGUUUAUAGUCUGUGAUUAUACAGGAUGUACUAACACAGUAGUGUCUGCACUUCUAAGUAAAUAAUUAUAUCUAUUUUAGGAUACAUAUGCAAACAUUUUUUAGUGAUCACCAUUAAAACAGUUUGAAGAUUAUUAAUCUAAAUUACAAAAUGGGAACAUUUGCCUAGAUUAAAGGUCUCCAUUGGAAUUUUCCAGAACUACUAUAAUUUUUAGUUCCAAUUUCUUACUAGUUAUGUAGGCCUUCAUUACAACACUGACCCUUUUUUUUCUUUCUUAUUCCCCUCUCUUUUUUAAACCCACUUUUACAAAAUGUUUCUUAAGGAUAGACUUUUUGAAGAAAAGUCUUUCUCCUUUCAGAAAAAAUUUAAACUACUUACAUAAACAUAAGCUUCAGAUAAGGCUAAUUAGCCUCAGAUAAGUCUUUUAUUAUGAUCAAUUCUGAGCAGAGACACAGAGGGAGACUUAGGGGCAACUUUAGCCUUUCCAGAAUCAGACUUUCUCCAAUGCUUCUGUCAUUUUGUAAAACUACAGAACCUGGAACAUACCCACUAAGUAGGAAUUGUUGCAGGACACAUCCCCAAACUUUUGGGGAGUGUCUACUACUGCACCUGCUUAGUAGCAUGGAAAAUUGAAAGUGAGGGAUAUUUUAGUUCCCAAAAUAUUGUGAUACAUCAUAAAUGUAUUUGCAGAGGAAGGAAAUCAUAUGAGGCACAGUGGAUAGAAAUUGCUCAGGAUAAUUUUUUUAACACAGUGACUUUCAAACUUUUUUGACCCUGACUGCAUUAAGAAAUAUAUCUUAUAUAGUUUAUAUCAUUCAUAUAUAUUAUAUAAGCUCUGUGCUGCACGCCAAUAUUUUUAUUCUAUUCGUUUUAAAAAUUCUGGUUGUACCCAAUUGCAUUAAUUUCACUAAAGGAUGGUGACAAAA